UACAGAGGGUGCAAGCGUUAAUCGGAAUUACUGGGCGUAAAGCGAACGUAGGCGGUUACCUAAGUCGGAUGUGAAAUCCCCGGGCUCAACCUGGGAAUUGCAUUCGAGACUGGGUGGCUAGAAUGCGGAAGAGGGAAGCGGAAUUUCCGGUGUAGCGGUGAAAUGCGUAGAUAUCGGAAGGAACAUCAGUGGCGAAAGCGGCUUCCUGGUCCAGCAUUGACGCUCAGGUUCGAAAGCGUGGGGAGCAAACAGG
rnacentral:rRNA from 1 species